GGUGUAGUUCUGUGGUAGAGUGCAUGCUUCACAUGUAUGAAUCCCUAGGUUCAAUCCCUGGCAGUGCCA
rnacentral:tRNA from 1 species